rnacentral:rRNA from 1 species
GAGUUUGAUCCUGGCUCAGAUUGAACGCUGGCGGCAGGCCUAACACAUGCAAGUCGAACGGUAACAUUUCUAGCUUGGUAGAAUAUGACGAGUGGCGGACGGGUGAGUAAUGCUUGGGAACUUGCCUUUGUGAGGGGGAUAACAGUUGGAAACGACUGCUAAUACCCCAUAAUGUCUUCGGACCCAACGGGGCUUCGGCUCCCGCGCAAAGAGAGGCCCAAGUGAGAUUAUCUAGUUGGUAAGGUAACGGCUUACCAAGGCGACGAUCUCUAUCUGUUCUGAGAGGAAGAUCUCCCACACUGGGACUGAGACACGGCCCACACUCCUACGGGAGGCAGCAGUGGGGAAUAUUGCACAAUGGGGGAAACCCUGAUGCAGCCAUGCCGCGUGUGUGAAGAAAGCCUUCGGGUUGUAAAGCACUUUCAGUUGUGAGGAAAAGUUAGUAGUUAAUACCUGCUAGCCGUGACGUUAACAACAGAAGAAGCACCGGCUAACUCCGUGCCAGCAGCCGCGGUAAUACGGAGGGUGCGAGCGUUAAUCGGAAUUACUGGGCGUAAAGCGCGCGUACGUGGUUUGUUAAGUUGGAUGUGAAAGCCCUGCGCUCACCUAUGAACUGCAUCCUAAACUAACUCACUAGAGUACGAUAGAGGGAGGUAGAAUUCAUAGUGUAGCGGUGGAUGCGUAGAUAUAUGAAGAAUACCGGUGGCGAAGGCGGCCUCCUGUGUCUGUACUGACACUGAGGUGCGAAAGCGUGGGUAGAGAACAGGAUUAGAUACCCUGGUAGUCCACGCCGUAAACGAUGACAACUAGCUGUUGGGAGACAAUGUCUUUCAGUGGCGCAGCUAACGUUUUAAGUUGUCCGCCUGGAGAGUACGGCCGCAAGGCUAAAACUCAAAUGAAUUGACGGGGACCCGCACAAGCGGUGGAGCAUGUGGUUUAAUUCGAUGCAACGCGAAAAACCUUACCUACUCUUGACAUACUUGGAAGCUCUUGUAAUGAGAGUGUCCCUUUUGGAACCAAGAUACAGGUGCUGCAUGGCUGUCGUCAGCUCGUGUCGUGAGAUGUUCCGUUAAGUCGGAUAACGAGCGCAACCCUUACCCUUAUUUGCCACCGAUUCGGUCGGGAACUAUAAGGGGACUGCCGGUGAUAAACCGGAGGAAGGUGAGGACGACGUCAAGUCAUCAUGGCCCUUACGAGUAGGGCUACACACGUGCUACAAUGGGGAAUACAGACGGACGCUAAGCCGCGAGGUGGUGCUAAUCCUAAAAAGUUCUUCGUAGUCCGGAUUGGAGUCUGCAACUCGACUCCAUGAAGUCGGAAUCGCUAGUAAUCGCGAAUCAGCAUGUCGCGGUGAAUACGUUCUCGGGCCUUGCACACAC